UAGCUCAGUUGGUAGAGCACGGCGCUUGCAACGCCAGAGUCGUGGGUUCAAUUUCCCAC
rnacentral:tRNA from 1 species